GACGAACGCUGGCGGCGUGCCUAAUACAUGCAAGUAGGACGCAGUUGCGAACGGGAGAGUAACGCGUAGGUAACUACCUAUUAGUGGGGGCUAACUAUUGGAAACGAUAGCUAAUACCGCCUACUAGUAGAUGGACCUGCGUUGUAUUAGCUAGUAGGUAGGGUAAUGGCCUACCUAGGCAAGGAUACAUAGCCGAGUUGAAGGGGAGAUCGGCCAAAAUGGGACUGAGACAAGGGCCCGAGUCCUAAGGGAGGGAGCAGGAGGGAAACAUCGGAAAUUGGGGGAAGCCUGACCGAGCAAAUCCGUGUGAGUGAAGAAGGGUUUCGGAUCGUAAAGGUCUGUUGUUAAGGAAGCGGUACUUAAACAGAAAGCGACGGCUAACUACGUGCCAGCAGCCGCGGUAAUGC
rnacentral:rRNA from 1 species